UUAGAUUUUUUUUGAAAAUCACACGACUUUGGAUCGAGUAUUUGUUUUUGUUCUUUUUCUGAAAAGGGUUGAUUUUAAUCUUUGAAUUAACAAUCAACUGAUACAAUAAAGUAAAUGAAAGCGUAAAUUUAUUACACAUUUACAGGAAUGGGGGUACAGUUUAUCGAAUGGGGAUACAACACAAUAAUGAAAUAAUACGAGCUUUGAAAGACAGUUGUA
rnacentral:lncRNA from 1 species